rnacentral:rRNA from 1 species
GACAGAGGUCCCGAGCGUUAGGCGGAAUCACUGGGCUUAAAGCGUGUGUAGGUGGAUGCCUAAGUACCUUGUGAAAUCCCACGGCUUAACCGUGGAAUUGCUUGGUAUACUGGGUGUCUUGAGCCACUUAGGGGCAACCGGAACAAAUGGUGGAGCGGUGAAAUGCGUAGAUAUCAAGAGGAACACCUGCGGCGAAGGCGGGUUGCUGGGCCGACACUGACGCUGAGGCGCGAAAGCCAGGGGAGCGAACGGG